rnacentral:rRNA from 1 species
AGUGAACGCUGGCGGUAGGCCUAACGCAUGCAAGUCGAACGGCAGCACAGUAAGAGCUUGCUCUUACGGGUGGCGAGUGGCGGACGGGUGAGGAAUACAUCGGAAUCUACUUUUUCGUGGGGGAUAACGUAGGGAAACUUACGCUAAUACCGCAUACGACCUACGGGUGAAAGCAGGGAAUCUUCGGACCUUGCGCGAUUGAAUGAGCCGAUGUCGGAUUAGCUAGUUGGCGGGGUAAAGGCCCACCAAGGCGACGAUCCGUAGCUGGUCUGAGAGGAUGAUCAGCCACACUGGAACUGAGACACGGUCCAGACUCCUACGGGAGGCAGCAGUGGGGAAUAUUGGACAAUGGGCGCAAGCCUGAUCCAGCCAUACCGCGUGGGUGAAGAAGGCCUUCGGGUUGUAAAGCCCUUUUGUUGGGAAAGAAAAGCAGCAGGUUAAUACCCCGCUGUUCUGACGGUACCCAAAGAAUAAGCACCGGCUAACUUCGUG